rnacentral:misc_RNA from 1 species
UCACCGCUUGCGCGGGCUCAUCCCCGUUUCCGGUUCUUAAUACCAGCAUGUCAAACCUGGGUAAGGCUCUUCGCGUUGCGUCGAAUUAAACCACAUGCACCACCGCUUGUGCGGGCCCCCGUCAAUUCCUUUGAGUUUCAGCCUUGCGGCCGUACUCCCCAGGCGGGGCACUUAAUGCGUUAGCGCCGGCCCUCAGAGGGUCGCUCCCCCAAGGACCUAGUGCCCAUCGUUUACGGCGUGGACUAC